UGAGGAAUAUUGGUCAAUGGGCGAGAGCCUGAACCAGCCAAGUAGCGUGCAGGAUGACGGCCCUAUGGGUUGUAAACUGCUUUUAUAUGGGAAUAAAGUGAGGGACGUGUCCCUUAUUGCAUGUACCAUACGAAUAAGGACCGGCUAAUUCCGUGCCAGCAGCCGCGGUAAUACGGAAGGUCCAGGCGUUAUCCGGAUUUAUUGGGUUUAAAGGGAGCGUAGGCUGUUUGUUAAGCGUGUUGUGAAAUGUAGGAGCUCAACUUUUAGAUUGCAGCGCGAACUGCAGACUUGAGUGCGCACAACGUAGGCGGAAUUCAUGGUGUAGCGGUGAAAUGCUUAGAUAUCAUGACGAACUCCGAUUGCGAAGGCAGCUUACGGGAGCGCAACUGACGCUAAAGCUCGAAGGUGCGGGUAUCGAACAGG
rnacentral:rRNA from 1 species